CCUACGGGCGUCAGCAGUGAGGAAUAUUGGUCAAUGGACGAGAGUCUGAACCAGCCAAGUAGCGUGAAGGAUGACUGCCCUAUGGGUUGUAAACUUCUUUUAUAUGGGAAUAAAAUGUUCCACGUGUGGGAUUUUGUAUGUACCAUAUGAAUAAGGAUCGGCUAACUCCGUGCCAGCAGCCGCGGUAAUACGGAGGAUCCGAGCGUUAUCCGGAUUUAUUGGGUUUAAAGGGAGCGUAGGUGGAUUGUUAAGUCAGUUGUGAAAGUUUGCGGCUCAACCGUAAAAUUGCAGUUGAAACUGGCAGUCUUGAGGACAGUAGAGGUGGGCGGAAUUCGUGGUGUAGCGGUGAAAUGCUUAGAUAUCACGAAGAACUCCGAUUGCGAAGGCAGUUCACUGGACUGCAACUGACACUGAGGCUCGAAAGUGUGGGUAUCAAACAGGAUUAGAUACCCUGGUAGUC
rnacentral:rRNA from 1 species